AAAUAUAUUAUAAAUCAGCUAUACAAUAUAAUAAAUAAUAAACAUGUAAACAAAGACACCCUGCGUUUGAUAUUUAGCAGAGACACACUGUGCUGGUUUCCGUGUAUUUUGUUGUUUAGCCAAGUUUCAGUUUAACCUUACGAAGGUGAGCAAAUCGUACCGUUUACUUUUAAUUGUAAUAAAGAAAUUAUAUAAAUGGUGUUUUUUUUUUUUUAAUAAUAUACAAAAAUAAGAUAAUGCGUUGUAUAUAUUUGAUAUAAGGACAUAUAUUAUUUAAAAAAAAAUUAAACAAAUAUCAACAACUCUGUGAAGUAACGCUCAACAGCAAGGAAAUUGCACAGAUGAUACACAUAUUUAUAUUUGUAUUUGUACUAUAAAAACAUUAGUCGAAUUAGUUUUGAUUGCCCCUGUUUCGUACGUAAAAUAGUUAUUAUAAUUACUUGCGACGAAUUUCGGCGAUACCCAAUACAACCAGUUUAAUUAAAAAAAAUUCAGUUAAAUUGUACUCACCCGUCAAAACAAGAGGUUUCUGUGUCAAGAUGCUAAUUUUGCUAAAUGGUUUACUGACAAAUGAUUUACUGACCUCAGCGAACAUUAUCAGCGAGGACUUCAUACAGGAGGCGUGGGAAAUGAAAUAUCAAGUAUGUGGGAGGGGAAACGUGCGAUAUACUUAUAAAUGAUAAACAUAAGAAAUAAAAGGUGAUAUGCAGGCAACCAAAAUAACCUGAUUUGUUAUAAAUAGUGUUACGGUAAACUUGGCACGCAAAAUGAUAUGUUGCUGCCGGAUGAGACUUAUGACGAACACAUAGAGCCUGCGACUGUAGCCGAAGUCAAGCAAAAGCUAUUGGACAAAUCUUCUACACCGUCAAACAAUAACAAAACAAACAAAAGUAAAAGUGUGAAAACCAAAGUUCGAUUACCGAGUAAUCAACGAGAGCGUAAUGACUCUCUCACGGGCAGCGCCGAGACGCAUAGCGGUACUGGCAGCGGCGAUAGCACUAUUAGCACGGGAGGCAUUAUCUCAUUUCCUUAUUGCACUUCGAGUUUCUUCACCAAUAUCCUCGACACUUUGGGCGACAUCUUGCCGCAAAGUGAAGAAUUCUCACCACACCAACAACCUGCGGCGCGGCAAAGCGAUGCCGAAGCGAUUGACGAAAGUCCGCGCCUCAGUCCCAGCAGCAACAGUGACAGCGCUGCUGGUCCGCCAAGUGGUCUACGGUUAACGGCGAAUGCCGAUAUGCUGCGUGUCGUUUGCGAUAAUUUGCUGCGUCGACAUCGCAUACGUCCGGACUUUUUCUGUCAAUACCAACAAGCUAUCAGCGCUGCUGCUCUAUUGCAACAAAAUAAACCAAAGAAUGUGACAACAACAACAACAACGAUUGCAUGUAACCAACCAGCGACUGUAGCUGCGGCUAAGCUGUCUGUGAUUGCAACAAGUACAACAGCGGAGGCCGUUGCGGUGACAAUAAAAUCGGAUGAGGCGACGGAGCUGUUGAAUCAACAGCAGCGACAUAAUGUAGAAUUGCGAAAUCUUUAUACAUUGCCGCUGGUAAAACGUAAGAAAGCGCGCAAUGCGACUGAAACGCCAACUAAAACAACAGAAACAACAACAAUAACGAGAGCUGUUGCAACAACAGACGCAUCCUCAUCCAAUGAAGCCGUGCACUUGCAGCAGCGCCUCAAGAGCCUCAGCACUGAGUUAGUCACCCUACGCAAUCGACUGCAUGUUGGGCAGGGACAACAAAACAACAACAACAACAACAAUAGCAAUAAUAACAAUAGCAACAACAACAACAACAAUAGCCAUAACAACACAGCCAAUUGCAAUGUCACAACGGUGAGUAACUUACAACAGCACCAACAACAACAACAACAACAACAGCAGCAGCAGCAUGUCAACACAGCUGGCCUAACCGGCCUCAAUUUGCAUGCAUCCACACCGAAUUUGCACAACAGCACGCAGCAUCUUAACAAUAGUAACAGUACAACAACAACAACAACAAAUUGCAUAAAUAAUAACAGCUUGCAACAGCAUCAGCAGCAACAGCAACAACAACAAUUGCAAUUAUCACACUCAACACUAAUUCCCACACACGGCAGCAAUAGCAGUAAUAACAAUAACAAUAACAACGCAAUUAACAAAUCUAAUAGCGGCAAUUGCAAUAGCAACAACAACAAUAAUAAUAAUAAUAAUAAUAAUGUAUCCUUGACAUCAUGCAACAACGUCAACAGCACAAACACCGCAUUUACGCACAUCAACAGCAAUAACAACAAGUCACAUUUGCACAGCUUUAGUCACACAUUGCCACAUAAUUCAACCAUAUCCGCCGGCAACACAGCGACUUUGCCGUCCGGCGCUGCUGCUGGCAUCGUUUCCACACGCAACACUUCCAUACCACACCCAUUGCCGUCAACUAUACAACAGCAACAACAACAUCACCAACAACAACAACAACAUUCGCAACAGCACCACCACCACCAGCAACACCAACAGCAGCAGCUGCAGCAACAACAAAACUCUCACACGCUACCAAUGCGCUCCACAGCCAGCAUUGGCGCGCACGUCCAUCACCUCAGCCAUAAUUUGCCACCUUUCAUACCGAUUGCCCAGAAGCAUCCAAGCGCCAGUCAUGGCAGCAGUUUCAGCAAUAUUGUCGCACCCUUCGGUUACAGCAGCGCCAAUGUCGAGCAGCGCAAUGUGAACAACAACUUUUUGGGCAGCUUACAAACACACCACAGCGCUGGUGGCCAUAACAACAAUAAUGUUGGCAACGCCGGCGCACACAAGCAGCCGCGUGAAAUUGAGGAUCUGAUACAUUUGCCGGGACCAUUGACCGAGGAUGCGGUAAUGCGCACAUUGCAGGCGCGCUUCAACGACAAUUGUUACUUUACAAACGUCGGCCCUAUAUUGCUCUCCAUCAAUCCCUAUCGUGAUGUUGGUAAUCCACUCACACUCACCUCCACCCGCUCAUUACCGCUGGCGCCGCAGUUGAACAAGAUCGUGCAGGAGGCUGUACGUCAACAAACGGAGACUGGUUAUCCGCAAGCUAUUAUACUCUCCGGCACUUCGGGUGCCGGUAAGACGCACUGUUCUAUGUUGCUGCUACGUCAGCUAUUCGCUGUCGCUGGUGGUGGCCCGGAAACCGAUGCGUUUAAACAUUUGGCUGCCGCCUUUACGGUGCUACGUUCUUUGGGUUCCGCUAAGACUACGACUAACUCGGAAUCGAGUCGCAUUGGCCAGUUUAUCGAGGUGCAGGUGACUGAUGGUGCUCUCUAUCGCACAAAGAUACACUGCUACUUUUUAGAUCAAACACGUGUCAUACGUCCGCUGCCGAAGGAGAAGAACUAUCAUAUCUUCUAUCAAAUGCUUGCCGGUCUGAGCAGAGAGGAACGUAUCAAGUUGAAUUUGGAGGGUUAUUCGCCAGCGAAUUUGCGUUAUUUGCAAAGCGGUGACAUUGUACAGAAUGAACAGGAGGAUGCUUCGCGCUUUCAGGCAUGGAAGACUUGUUUGGGCAUAUUGGGUAUACCUUUCUUGGAUGUAGUGCGUGUACUUGCUGCUGUAUUGCUGCUGGGGAAUGUGCAAUUUAUAGACGGGCAAAGCCUCGAGGUGGACGUCAAAGGUGAAGCCGAACUAAACUCCGUCGCCAGUUUGUUGGGCGUGCCGCCAGCUGCGCUUUUCCGGGGACUCACCACGCGCACACACAACGCCCGUGGCCAGCUGGUUAAGUCUGUCUGCGAUGCCAAUAUGUCCAACAUGACACGUGAUUGUCUGGCGAAAGCGCUUUACUGCCGCACCGUGGCCACCAUUGUACGACGAGCCAAUAGCCUGAAAAGACUUGGCUCCACAUUGGGCACUUUGAGCUCCGAUUCCAAUGAGUCGGUACAUAAUCAAGCCGAUGUCGCCUCACAGCACGCCUCCACUAUCGGCGGCAACUCUGGUUCGAAAUCAAUGGCGGCCUUAAAUAAUGCGGUGCGUCAUGCCACCGACGGCUUUAUCGGCAUAUUGGAUAUGUUUGGCUUCGAGGAACCAUCACACGCACAACUAGAGCAUCUCUGCAUCAAUUUGUGCGCCGAAACGAUGCAACAUUUCUACAAUACGCACAUCUUUAAGUCCUCGGUGGAGUCUUGUCGUGAUGAAGGCAUUAUUUGCGAUGCUGAGGUGGACUAUGUGGAUAAUGUGCCCUGCAUCGAUUUGAUAUCUUCGCUACGCACUGGCUUGUUAAGCAUGUUGGAUGCAGAGUGCUCCAUACGCGGCACGGCCGAGAGUUAUGUUGCCAAGAUUAAGGUGCAACAUCGCAACUCAACACGUCUGGAGACGAAACAUGCGAGCGAACCCUAUGACCCGCGCAUGUUUAUGAUACGUCACUUUGCUGGACGUGUGGAGUAUGAUACCACCGAUUUUCUGGACACAAAUCGUGAUGUGGUGCGUGACGACUUGGUCGCUGUCUUCUAUAAGCACACCUGCAAUUUCGGCUUUGCCACACAUCUUUUUGGUUCGGAGCUGAAAGCAUUGUACGCGUUGCAGAAUGUGCCACGCGGUCUCAGCUUCCGUAUUUCACCCACAUCACAUACGGAUCUAUUGAAUGGCGAUGAACCCGUCUCGACGCUAACGCAAGACUUUCACACACGCUUAGACAACUUGCUGCGCACGCUGGUGCACGCGCGUCCACAUUUUGUGCGCUGCAUACGCAGCAAUGCUAAUGAAACGGCCGGCUGUUUCGAACGUAAGAUGGUCGUCCGGCAGAUACGCUCACUGCAGGUGCUGGAGACCGUUAACCUAAUGGCAUCUGGUUUUCCGCAUCGCAUGCGCUUCAAGCAGUUCAAUGCGCGUUAUGUCGCUAUGUUGGCGCCGUUUCGCCUGCAUCGCCGCAGCGAGGAUAAGGCGAUGGAAGAUUGCAAUCUCAUUUUGGAAUUUGCCAUGGAGAAUCCGCCGGUGUUGGACGGUUCCGUCACGCUCGCUUGGGCGCCUGGCAAGCGCCACGUAUUCCUAAGCGAGGGCAUGCGUCAGCAUUUGGAACAUCUGCGCGCGGAGAUACGCACUAAGAGCGCCACCUUGAUACAGGCCACCUGGCGUGGCUGGCAGUGGCGCAAGAAGAUGGGCGGUGUGAAGCGUGCGCGCGGCGUUAAUGGCGUCCUCACUAUGCUACCAACUACGUCAAGCGCAACUAAACUGACAAAGUUGCUGCCCAACAGCGGCGCGAAUUCGCUACCGCGUCUAUCUGCGAAAUCGACAAAUCUUAUGGGCGCCGUAACGCGUCCACGUCCGCAACCAAUCGCCGGCACACCACCACCUGAUCCGAAUGAGAAAUGCGACACAAAGAUAAUCCAGCAAACCUGCAGCCUAUUCGGAUUAGAUUUGGCUUGGCAACCCAGUAUUUUCAUAUGUUUAUAAAAAACCAAUUGCAAUUUGAUCGUCAGGAUUUGUUUGUUUAAUCGGCGUACAGGGAAUAUUUUGCCGGUGAAUAGAGAUCAAUUUCGAAUUAUUGUUGAAAAAUAUGGAAAAAAAGUUUUUCCUGCUGGUGGCGCUUGGUGGCCUAACGCGCUACUACUUGCAUAGCUUCCAGUGGAUUGGUGAAAGAGUAGAAGUAUCAACACCUAUAAACUCAUACAAACGAGUUCAAGAGGGCAUAUAUCUAUAUGAAAAUGGCAUUGAUCCCUACAUCGGCGAUGUGGUGCAUGAGCUGCCAAUAAUUUUAGUACUGCUUGUACGGAUUUUUAGUGCUAUAUCAAGCAUUGUGCCAAUAUUCUACAUACUAGUCGAUUUACUAACAGCCACACUAUUGUUUAAGUUGGCACAAAAAUUUGUACGCACAAAACUUGUUGAGCAAAAAACAGAAGCACUACAGUUUGCAGUUGGCACCGAGGAGUUACAAGUGCAGGCUUCAGAUAUGGAUGUGAUACCGCGUUGUGUAUUACUGGCAUAUCUCUUCAACCCAUUGUCAUUGCUCAGUUGUGCUGGUCUCACGUCGACAGUAUUUAGCAAUUUUCUGCUAGCACUCGUGCUCUAUUUUCUCGUGCAACGCCAUUUAAUACCUUGUGUUAUUUGCCUAGCGCUGGAAACAAUGCGUAAUCUGUAUCCGCUGGUGCUAAUUGCACCAGUUGUAUUGGUUUUUACACAGCGCUCAAAAUCCACUACCGCCGGUGCCAUUGGUGUUUUGGCGUUAUUCGCAGCAGCUUGUCUAGCAAUCACCGGUUUCAACUAUGCUAUAAUCCAUAGCUGGAGCUUCAUAGAUGCUACACUUGGUUUUAUUUUCUUCUACCGUGAUUUACAACCAAAUAUCGGACUUUUCUGGUAUUUCUUUACGGAAAUGUUCGAACACUUUCGCACAAUGUUCCUAAUCACAUUCCAAAUGAACGCAACCGUCCUCUACCUUGUGCCAUUAUCACUUAAAUUGCGCAAAGAGCCUUUGUUAUUAGCCACAGUGCUCAUUGCAUUAAUGUCUAUAUUCCGUUCGUAUCCCAGUGUUGGUGAUGUUAGUUUCUAUUUGGCUCUGUUACCGUUGUGGCGUCGCUGCUGGAAGUUUAUGGCGCAUAAUUUUGUGGUGUUCUGCUUUUUUGUGGUCACCUUAUCAAUGAUGCCGGCGCUGUGGCAAUUGUGGAUUUAUUCCGGCUCGGCGAAUGCUAACUUCUACUUUGGCACAACGUUAGCUUUCUCCACGGGACAAAUAUUCCUGGUGACCGACUUGCUGUUUGCGCAUGUCAAACGCGAUUUCUGUCUACGCAACGGUUUAAAAGUCUACAUCGAUGGCAAGGAAGCAAAAAUUAUUUUAGAGUGAGCAGUGCGUGUCCUAUUGCACCAAUACUGCGUUUGCUUUUUAAAUCUAACAAUAGUAUACUUAACUUUUGUUGGCUGCAUUGAUUGGUCAAACGCCCCGUAUUGGCUGCUGCAUUUGUGAGGUUGAUCUAUGACCCCUGGAAUUUUAGUAUUGAAUAAAUAUCUACACUGCAUUUUAUGACCGUAGUCUGAAAAUUUGUAGUAAAUGGCCUAUGUUUAAGUAUUAAUAAAUGAAAAUAAAGAACAAAAUAAAA